GAUGAACGCUGGCGGCGUGCUUAACACAUGCAAGUCGAACGGAAAGACCCAAGCUUGCUUGGGUACUCGAGUGGCGAACGGGUGAGUAACACGUGGGUGAUCUGCCCUGCACUUCGGGAUAAGCCUGGGAAACUGGGUCUAAUACCGGAUAGGACCACUUCUUGGAUGUUGUGGUGGAAAGUUUUUUCGGUGUGGGAUGAGCUCGCGGCCUAUCAGCUUGUUGGUGAGGUAAUGGCCUACCAAGGCGUCGACGGGUAGCCGGCCUGAGAGGGUGUACGGCCACAUUGGGACUGAGAUACGGCCCAGACUCCUACGGGAGGCAGCAGUGGGGAAUAUUGCACAAUGGGCGCAAGCCUGAUGCAGCGACGCCGCGUGGGGGAUGACGGCCUUCGGGUUGUAAACUCCUUUCGCUAGGGACGAAGCGUUUUGUGACGGUACCUGGAGAAGAAGCACCGGCUAACUACGUG
rnacentral:rRNA from 1 species